rnacentral:rRNA from 1 species
AGAGUUUGAUCCUGGCUCAGGAUGAACGUUAGCGGGAGGCUUAAUACAUGCAAGUCGAGCGGUAAGUUUUAUAGCAAUAUGAAGACCUAGGGCGGCGCACGGGUGAGUAACGCGUACACGACCUGGCCUAAACUGGGGGAUAGCCUUGGGAAACUGAGAGUAAUCCCGCAUGUGAUUAUGUUACUGAUGGUGAUAUAAUUAAAGCUUCGGCGGUUUAGGAUGGGUGUGCGUCUGAUUAGCUAGUUGGUAGUGUAACGGACUACCAAGGCGAUGAUCAGUAGGGGGCGUGAGAGCGUGACCCCCCACACGGGUACUGAGACACGGACCCGACUCCUACGGGAGGCAGCAGUAAGGAAUAUUGGUCAAUGCCCGGAAGGUGAACCAGCCAUCCCGCGUGAAGGAUGAAGGGGCUCUGCCUUGUAAACUUCUUUUGUAUGGGGCGAAAAAAGGGGAUUUAUCCUCGACUGACGGUACCAUAAGAAUAAGCACCGGCUAACUCCGUG